UACGGAGGGGUGCGAGCGUUGUCCGGGAAUCACUGGGCGUAAAGGGGCGCGUAGGCGGCCUGAUAAGUAGGGGGGUGAAAAUCCUGCGGCUUAACCGCAGGGGCUGCCUUCUAAACUGUCAGGCUCGAGCACAGUAGAGGCAGGUGGAAUUCCCCGGUGUAGCGGUGGAAUGCGUAGAGAUCGGGGAAGAACAUCAGUGGCGAAGGCGGCCUGCGUGGGGCUGUUGCUGACGCUGAGGCGCGACAGCGUGGGGGAGCAAACAGG
rnacentral:rRNA from 1 species